rnacentral:rRNA from 1 species
UACAGAGGUGGCAAGCGUUGUUCGGAAUUACUGGGCGUAAAGGGCGCGUAGGCGGCCUUCUAAGUCAGACGUGAAAUCCCCAGGCUUAACUUGGGAACUGCGUCUGAUACUGGGAGGCUUGAGUGCGGGAGAGGGAUGUGGAAUUCCAGGUGUAGCGGUGAAAUGCGUAGAUAUCAAGUGGAACACCAGUGGCGAAGGCGAGUCCCUGGACAAUUCCUGACACUGAGGCACGAAAGCUAGGGGAGCAAACAGG